rnacentral:rRNA from 1 species
CACGAACCGUACGAACGUUAUUCGGAAUUACUGGGCUUAAAGGGUUUGUAGGCGGCCAUGUAAGUGGGGUGUGAAAGCCCUCGGCUCAACCGAGGAAUAGCGCUCCAAACUGUAUGGCUUGAGGGAGACAGGGGUAAGCGGAACUGAUGGUGGAGCGGUGAAAUGCGUUGAUAUCAUCAGGAACACCGGUGGCGAAGGCGGUUCUCUGGGCCUGUACUGACGCUGAGGAGCGAAAGCGUGGGGAGCGAACAGG